rnacentral:rRNA from 1 species
GACGAACGCUGGCGGCGUGCUUAACACAUGCAAGUCGAACGGAAAGGCCCUGCUUUUGUGGGGUGCUCGAGUGGCGAACGGGUGAGUAACACGUGAGUAACCUGCCCUUGACUUUGGGAUAACUUCAGGAAACUGGGGCUAAUACCGGAUAGGAGCUCCUGCUGCAUGGUGGGGGUUGGAAAGUUUCGGCGGUUGGGGAUGGACUCGCGGCUUAUCAGCUUGUUGGUGGGGUAGUGGCUUACCAAGGCUUUGACGGGUAGCCGGCCUGAGAGGGUGACCGGCCACAUUGGGACUGAGAUACGGCCCAGACUCCUACGGGAGGCAGCAGUGGGGAAUAUUGCACAAUGGGCGGAAGCCUGAUGCAGCAACGCCGCGUGCGGGAUGACGGCCUUCGGGUUGUAAACCGCUUUCGCCUGUGACGAAGCGUGAGUGACGGUAAUGGGUAAAGAAGCACCGGCUAACUACGUGCCAGCAGCCGCGGUGAUACGUAGGGUGCGAGCGUUGUCCGGAUUUAUUGGGCGUAAAGGGCUCGUAGGUGGUUGAUCGCGUCGGAAGUGUAAUCUAGGGGCUUAACCCUGAGCGUGCUUUCGAUACGGGUUGACUUGAGGAAGGUAGGGGAGAAUGGAAUUCCUGGUGGAGCGGUGGAAUGCGCAGAUAUCAGGAGGAACACCAGUGGCGAAGGCGGUUCUCUGGGCCUUUCCUGACGCUGAGGAGCGAAAGCGUGGGGAGCGAACAGGCUUAGAUACCCUGGUAGUCCACGCUGUAAACGGUGGGUACUAGGUGUGGGGUCCAUUCCACGGGUUCCGUGCCGUAGCUAACGCUUUAAGUACCCCGCCUGGGGAGUACGGCCGCAAGGCUAAAACUCAAAGGAAUUGACGGGGCCCCGCACAAGCGGCGGAGCAUGCGGAUUAAUUCGAUGCAACGCGUAGAACCUUACCUGGGUUUGACAUGGAUCGGGAGUGCUCAGAGAUGGGUGUGCCUCUUUUGGGGUCGGUUCACAGGUGGUGCAUGGCUGUCGUCAGCUCGUGUCGUGAGAUGUUGGGUUAAGUCCCGCAACGAGCGCAACCCUUGUUCACUGUUGCCAGCACGUUAUGGUGGGGACUCAGUGGAGACCGCCGGGGUCAACUCGGAGGAAGGUGGGGAUGACGUCAAGUCAUCAUGCCCCUUAUGUCCAGGGCUUCACGCAUGCUACAAUGGCUGGUACAGAGAGUGGCGAGCCUGUGAGGGUGAGCGAAUCUCGGAAAGCCGGUCUCAGUUCGGAUUGGGGUCUGCAACUCGACCUCAUGAAGUCGGAGUCGCUAGUAAUCGCAGAUCAGCAACGCUGCGGUGAAUACGUUCCCGGG